rnacentral:snRNA from 1 species
AUACCUCUCUCGACUUUUGGCUAAGAUAAAAUGCAGUAUUUGCAGUUUAAUAUCUAGUAUGUAGACCAUAUGUCCACUUUAAUUUUAAAUUUAUUUUUUAUAGAGAGGAUCCACU